UCCCAGGAUUCCCAGCUGGGGAGGCUGAGGCUCCACCGGCCCCGCCCCUGCUUCCCCACCCCCUAGAGCUGCAGCAUGACCAGCCACAGGUGGUGACUCACAGACACACCUGCACGCUGGGCAGCUGAGCUGAGCUCCCGAGUCGUCCUGCUGCUGCCAGCAAGGAUGUCUGGAUUCAAUGAGAAAGGCAACAAUAUCACUUCCUAUUGUAUCAGGAAAACUGUGAUGACCGUGGGGAUAGAGGUCUGGAUAGCUAACAGAACUACAGUGUUUCACAGAACAUAAUUGAGGUUUCACUGAGAACACGCCAAGCUCUGAAACACUUUUGGAUGGGGAGGUGGCAAGUAGGCAAGUUACCUUCAGUGAGAAAUCUACCAUCUGUGAAGUUGAAAGGUGAUUUUUAUUAAGACUUGUAACCCACAGACCAAGAUCAUGACAGGAAUCUACAUUUUGCCAAAGAACUGAUAAGAGUGAUAAUCCAAGAAUCUAUGAUUUGUCCAUAAUGAAAGAUUCUCAUGGGUUUCUCAAAGUGCAACAUGCCUGAAGUUAUCUUGUCAUUCCAAAAAGUGUUAGCCUUCGACAAUGUAGAAGGAAAUCAUGUUAAAAAAUAAAACACCUCAGUGUCCUUUGCAUCAGA